CACUCCUGCGGGAGGCAGCAGUGGGGAAUUUUGGACAAUGGGCGAAAGCCUGAUCCAGCAAUGCCGCGUGAGUGAAGAAGGCCUUCGGGUUGUAAAGCUCUUUUGUCAGGGAAGAAACGGUGAAAGCUAAUAUCUUUUGCUAAUGACGGUACCUGAAGAAUAAGCACCGGCUAACUACGUGCCAGCAGCCGCGGUAAUACGUAGGGUGCAAGCGUUAAUCGGAAUUACUGGGCGUAAAGCGUGCGCAGGCGGUUUUGUAAGUCUGAUGUGAAAUCCCCGGGCUCAACCUGGGAAUUGCAUUGGAGACUGCAAGGCUAGAAUCUGGCAGAGGGGGGUAGAAUUCCACGUGUAGCAGUGAAAUGCGUAGAUAUGUGGAGGAACACCGAUGGCGAAGGCAGCCCCCUGGGUCAAGAUUGACGCUCAUGCACGAAAGCGUGGGGAGCAAACAGGAUUAGAAACCCUUGUAGUCCC
rnacentral:rRNA from 1 species